ACAUGCAAGUCGAGCGAGGAGAUCCUUCGGGAUGAUCCUAGCGGCGGACGGGUGAGUAACACGUGGGCAACCUGCCUCAUAGAGAGGAAUAGCCUUCCGAAAGGGAGAUUAAUUCCUCAUAACAUUGCAGUUUCGCAUGGAACAGCAAUUAAGGAGUAAUCCGCUAUGAGAUGGGCCCGCGGCGCAUUAGCUAGUUGGUGAGGUAACGGCUCACCAAGGCGACGAUGCGUAGCCGACCUGAGAGGGUGAUCGGCCACAUUGGGACUGAGACACGGCCCAGACUCCUACGGGAGGCAGCAGUGGGGAAUAUUGCACAAUGGGGGAAACCCUGAUGCAAGCAACGCCGCGUGAGUGAUGACGGCCUUCGGGUUGUAAAGCUCUGUCUUCAGGGACGAUAAUGACGGUACCUGAGGAGGAAGCCACGGCUAACUACGUGCCAGCAGCCGC
rnacentral:rRNA from 1 species